GAUGAACGCUGGCGGCGUGCCUAAUACAUGCAAGUCGAGCGAACGGACGAGAAGCUUGCUUCUCUGAUGUUAGCGGCGGACGGGUGAGUAACACGUGGAUAACCUACCUAUAAGACUGGGAUAACUUCGGGAAACCGUAGCUAAUACCGGAUAAUAUUUUGAACCGCAUGGUUCAAAAGUGAAAGACGGUCUUGCUGUCACUUAUAGAUGGAUCCGCGCUGCAUUAGCUAGUUGGUAAGGUAACGGCUUACCAAGGCAACGAUGCAUAGCCGACCUGAGAGGGUGAUCGGCCACACUGGAACUGAGACACGGUCCAGACUCCUACGGGAGGCAGAAGUAGGGAAUCUUCCGCAAGGGGCGAAAGCCUGACGGAGCAACGCCGCGUGAGUGAUGAAGGUCUUCGGAUCGUAAAACUCUGUUAUUAGGGAAGAACAUAUGUGUAAGGAACUGUGCACAUCUUGACGGUACCUAAUCAGAAAGCCACGGCUAACUACGUG
rnacentral:rRNA from 1 species